rnacentral:rRNA from 1 species
UGGCACAGCCAUAUCACCCUGCAGCCCAAGACCGGUUACUCACUGAAGCUAAGCAGGACUGAGCCUGGUCAGUACCUGAAUGGGAGACCACAUGGGAAAAAACUGGGUUGCUGUUGAAA